rnacentral:rRNA from 1 species
AGAUUGAACGCUGGCGGCAUGCCUAACACAUGCAAGUCGCACGAGAAAGGGUAGCAAUACCUGAGUAAAGUGGCGCACGGGUGAGUAACACGUGAAUUAUCUACCUCCGAGUGGGGAAUAACUGAGAGAAAUCUUAGCUAAUACCGCAUAACACUUACGAGUCAAAGCAGCAAUGCGCUUGGAGAGGAGUUCGCGGCAGAUUAGUUAGUUGGCGGGGUAAUGGCCCACCAAGACGAUGAUCUGUA